rfam:Pteropus alecto contig79001, whole genome shotgun sequence.
UCUCAGUGAUGCGGUUCCAAUAGAUCCUUCUGACCCUGCACUGUGGACUCUAUAGCAGGGGGAUGAAGAGGGACGUGACUGAGAGA